rnacentral:rRNA from 1 species
GACGAACCGUGCGAACGUUGUUCGGAAUCACUGGGCUUAAAGGGCGCGUAGGCGGGCCUCAAGUCCGGGGUGAAAGCCUCCAGCCUAACUGGAGAAGAGCCUCGGAGACUGAGGGCCUCGAGGGAGGUAGGGGCAAGCGGAACUAUGGGUGGAGCGGUGAAAUGCAUUGAUAUCCAUAGGAACUCCGGUGGCGAAGGCGGCUUGCUGGACCUCUUCUGACGCUGAGGCGCGAAAGCCAGGGGAGCAAACGGGG